UACGUAGGGUGCAAGCGUUAAUCGGAAUUACUGGGCGUAAAGCGUGCGCAGGCGGUUUUGUAAGACUGUCGUGAAAUCCCCGGGCUCAACCUGGGAAUGGCGAUGGUGACUGCAAGGCUAGAGUUUGGCAGAGGGGGGUAGAAUUCCACGUGUAGCAGUGAAAUGCGUAGAGAUGUGGAGGAACACCGAUGGCGAAGGCAGCCUCCUGGGCCAGCACUGACGCUCAUGCACGAAAGCGUGGGGAGCAAACAGG
rnacentral:rRNA from 1 species